rnacentral:lncRNA from 1 species
GUGGUCCUCUCUCUGCUUAGCCUGCCUGAGCUGGUCUGAGGGUCCUGAUUUUUCACCCGUGCCUUCCCUUCUACUGUUCCCUGAGGACAGGCACCCCCAGAUGGAAACUCUGACUUGUCUUCUACCUCAUCUCCACAGGAACCUUGCUCCUCAAAAAUCAAAGAACACAGUGGAUGCAAAAAUAUUCUGUAAACGGAAAAAUGUAGAUGUAGAGAAGAACUAAGCCACAUCUGUCGAGGGCCCUGCACUUGCCAGGUCAUGAGCUACAAAGUUGAUUUACUGACCCAUGAAUGGGUCACAACCCGCAGUUUGGAAACAGCUGGAUGGACCCCCACCUGUGCUUUCCAGUUUCUCCUAGAGCCUCAGGGCCCCAAGAAGGCAGUGUGGUCUCUGCAGCCAGGUCCUCUCCUGGGAGAAACACUUCAACUUUUGCAAAAGAUUCAUUAAUUCAUCACCAUGGUGCCCAGAAA